CUAGCAUAUCAAUAAGCGGAGGAAAAGAAACUAACAAGGAUUCCCCUAGUAACUGCGAGUGAAGCGGGAAAAGCUCAAAUUUAAAAUCUGGCGGUCUCCGGCCGUCCGAGUUGUAAUCUAGAGAAGUGUUAUCCGCGCUGGACCGUGUACAAGUCUCCUGGAAUGGAGCGUCAUAGAGGGUGAGAAUCCCGUCUUUGACACGGACUGCCAGGGCUUUGUGAUGCGCUCUCAAAGAGUCGAGUUGUUUGGGAAUGCAGCUCAAAAUGGGUGGUAAAUUCCAUCUAAAGCUAAAUAUUGGCGAGAGACCGAUAGCGAACAAGUACCGUGAGGGAAAGAUGAAAAGAACUUUGGAAAGAGAGUUAAACAGUACGUGAAAUUGCUGAAAGGGAAACGCUUGAAGUCAGUCGCGUUGGCCGGGGAUCAACCUUGCUUUUGCUGGGCGUACUUUCCGGUUGACGGGUCAGCAUCAAUUUUGACCGUUGGAUAAAGUCUAGGGGAAUGUGGCAUCUUCGGAUGUGUUAUAGCCCUUGGUCGCAUACAACGGUUGGGAUUGAGGAACUCAGCACGCCGCAAGGCCGGGUACUUGUACCACGUUCGUGCUUAGGAUGCUGGCAUAAUGGCUUUAAUCGACCCGUCUUGAAACACGGACCAAGGAGUCUAACAUGCCUGCGAGUGUUUGGGUGGAAAACUCGGACGCGUAAUGAAAGUGAAAGUUGAGAUCCCUGUCGCGGGGAGCAUCGACGCCCGGACCAGACCUUUUGUGACGGAUCCGCGGUAGAGCAUGUAUGUUGGGACCCGAAAGAUGGUGAACUAUGCCUGAAUAGGGUGAAGCCAGAGGAAACUCUGGUGGAGGCUCGUAGCGAUUCUGACGUGCAAAUCGAUCGUCAAAUUUGGGUAUAGGGGCGAAAGACUAAUCGAACCAUCUAGUAGCUGGUCCUGC
rnacentral:rRNA from 1 species